AUUGAACGCUGGCGGCAGGCCUAACACAUGCAAGUCGAACGGCUGCACCGUGCUUGCUUGCUGUUUCGGCUGCGGACUGGUGUGCGAUUCCUAGGAAUCUCCCUGUCUGUUUUUUCUUACGUCCUGACACGGGCGCUCAUACUCCAUUCCUCCUUCCGGCGUAAGUGGGUGAUCCUCGGACCUUCCGCUCUUUCGUGAUUCUAUGUCGGAUUAGCUAGUUGGGGGGUUAAAGGCCUACCAAGCCGCCGAUCCGUAGCUGGUCUGAGAGGAUGAUCAGUCACACUGGAACUGAGACACGGUCAAGACUCCUACGGGAGGCAGCAGUGGGGAAUAUUGGACAAUGGGCGAAAGCCUGAUCCAGCCAUACCGCGUGGGUGAAGAAGGCCUUCGGGUUGUAAAGCACUUUUAGUGGGGAAGAAAGGCAGUAGGUUAAUACCAAGCUGUUUUGACGGUACCAAAAGAAUAAGCACCGGCUAACUUCGUG
rnacentral:rRNA from 1 species